rnacentral:rRNA from 1 species
UACGUAGGGUCCGAGCGUUGUCCGGAAUUAUUGGGCGUAAAGGGCUCGUAGGCGGUCUGUUGCGUCGGGAGUGAAAACUUACAGCUUAACUGUGAGCGUGCUUCCGAUACGGGCAGACUUGAGGUAUUCAGGGGAGAACGGAAUUCCUGGUGUAGCGGUGAAAUGCGCAGAUAUCAGGAGGAACACCGGUGGCGAAGGCGGUUCUCUGGGAAUAUCCUGACGCUGAGGAGCGAAGGCGUGGGGAGCGAACGGG